rnacentral:rRNA from 1 species
GUGGGGAAUAUUGGACAAUGGGCGAAAGCCUGAUCCAGCCAUGCCGCGUGUGUGAAGAAGGUCUUCGGAUUGUAAAGCACUUUAAGUUGGGAGGAAGGGCAGUAAGUUAAUACCUUGCUGUUUUGACGUUACCGACAGAAUAAGCACCGGCUAACUUCGUGCCAGCAGCCGCGGUAAUACGAAGGGUGCAAGCGUUAAUCGGAAUUACUGGGCGUAAAGCGCGCGUAGGUGGUUCAGCAAGUUGGAGGUGAAAGCCCCGGGCUCAACCUGGGAACUGCCUCCAAAACUACUGAGCUAGAGUACGGUAGAGGGUAGUGGAAUUUCCUGUGUAGCGGUGAAAUGCGUAGAUAUAGGAAGGAACACCAGUGGCGAAGGCGACUACCUGGACUGAUACUGACACUGAGGUGCGAAAGCGUGGGGAGCAAACAGGAUUAGAAACCCUAGUAGUCC